GACGAACGCUGGCGGCGUGCUUAACACAUGCAAGUCGGACGGAAAGGCCCUGCUUUUGUGGGGUGCUCGAGUGGCGAACGGGUGAGUAACACGUGAGUAACCUGCCCUUGACUUUGGGAUAACUUCAGGAAACUGGGGCUAAUACCGGAUAGGAGCUCCUGCUGCAUGGUGGGGGUUGGAAAGUUUCGGCGGUUGGGGAUGGACUCGCGGCUUAUCAGCUUGUUGGUGGGGUAGUGGCUUACCAAGGCUUUGACGGGUAGCCGGCCUGAGAGGGUGACCGGCCACAUUGGGACUGAGAUACGGCCCAGACUCCUACGGGAGGCGGCAGUGGGGAAUAUUGCACAAUGGGCGGAAGCCUGAUGCAGCAACGCCGCGUGCGGGAUGACGGCCUUCGGGUUGUAAACCGCUUUCGCCUGUGACGAAGCGUGAGUGACGGUAAUGGGUAAAGAAGCACCGGCUAACUACGUG
rnacentral:rRNA from 1 species